rnacentral:rRNA from 1 species
GUGAUACGAAGUGGAGGUUCGAACCGACCGAUGUUGAAAAAUCGACGGAUGAGUUGUGGUUAGGGGUGAAAUGCCAAUCGAACUUGGAGCUAGCUGGUUCUCCUCGAAAUGCGUUGAGGCGCAGCGGUUGAUUAUGGACUUCUAGGGGGUAAAGCGCUGUCUCGGUGCGGGCUGCGAAAGCGGUACUAAUCUGUUGCAAACUCGGAAUACCUAGAAUGUUUUCAAUCAGCCAGUGAGACUGCGGGGGAUAAGCUCCGUAGUCAAAAGGGAAACAGCCCAGACCACCAGCUAAGGCUCCUAAAUAAAAGCUAAGUGGCAAAGGAGGUGAAAGUGCAGUGACAAUCAGGAGGUUUGCCUAGAAGCAGCCACCCUCUAAGGAGUGCGUAAUAGCUCACUGAUCAAGCGCUUUUGCGCCGAAAAUGACCGGAACUAAGUUUUUUGCCGAAGCUGUGGCUACAUCACACAGAUGAUGUAGGGUAGAGGAGCGUUCCGCCCAGGGGGAAGCCAAGCGCGUAAGCCGCGGUGGACAGGGCGGAAGUGAGAAUGUCAGCUUGAGUAACGCAAACAUUGGUGAGAAUCCAGUGCCCCGAAAACUCAAGGGUUCCUGCGCAAGGCUCGUCCGCGCAGGGUCAGUCAGGACCUAAGGUGAGGCCGAAAGGCGUAAUUGAUGGCAAGAAGGUUUAUAUUCCUUCACUAGUCUAGGCUUAGUCCUGAGGGACGAACAAAUAACACUCGGCACAAUGGCCUUCCAUGGUAGGAAGGGUCAAACCAUUGUUGUUUGAUGGUAUUUUUUCCAAGAAAAGCUCAUUCGACUUUGAGUCUAGACUACCUGUACCGUAAACCGACACAGGUGAGUGGGUUGAAUAAACUAAGGGGAGCGAGAUAACUCUCUCUAAGGAACUCGGCAAAUUGGCUCUGUACCUUCGGAAGAAAGAGUGCCCCUCAGGGGGCCGCAGUGAAGAGAUCCAGGCGACUGUUUACCAAAAACACAGGUCUCCGCAAAGUCGUAAGACGACGUAUGGGGGCUGACACCUGCCCAGUGCCAGAAGGUUAAAGAAGUUGGUCAAUCUAUGAUGAAGCUAACGACUGAAGCCCUGGUGAACGGCGGCAGUAACUAUAACUGUCCUAAGGUAGCGAAAUUCCUUGUCGGGUAAGUUCCGACCCGCACGAAAGGUGU